AUGGCCAGGCGUGUGGUCGAACUUUCAACACCCUUCUUUCCUUUAAUGUUCACAGCACGGUGAACUAGGAUCCAUGAUGAUAGCUGCUUGACAGAUGAGGAAACUGAGUCUCCAGAGAAAGUAAGUAACUUGCCCAGGACUAGCACACAGCGAAUAAGUACUGGUCUGUUCAGAUUAGGAGACCAGCUUCUUAAAUUUUACAUGCAUGGGGGUGGGAGCAAAUGGAGCCAAAGAAGUAGCAUUUUUCCUGCUCUUAUUGUGAGUCUGUUUUAACCACCAGAUUGCUGGUGUGACCUGGAGAACAUAAUAUUUCCGCAAAAAUUAAUCAGAUCAUGCAUUCAUUCUUCAUUUAUUCAUUCAAAAACAUUUCUCAAAGGCCUGGAGUUGAGCUCUGGGCUAUGCUAUCCUUCUACUUUAUGACGUUCUCAUGUUAAAAUUCUAAGAAGUCUGCAUGAUGAUAGGCUCUUAAAUGUUUCCUAUUACUAUUUUGCUACAUUUCCCCUACAUUUCCCCCCGGUCCAGGCAAUCAUAUUUCUCAUAAUCUUGGCUUUCAUCUAAUUCAAGCUCAAGUAAGGACUACCUUCUUCGUGAGUGCCCUCUGCAGGACUGUGCUUCCGGAGGCAGUAUACCUGGUGAUCCCAGCUGAAAGACUCAUGUUUCUGCCUCCAGUCUUCCUGGUCCUGAAGUCGAUGAAAAUUCCUUUCAGUUCUGAUAAUGGCUUGAAUGCACCCCGAUCUUCAAUGUAUUGUCCUUUCCUUUCCUCCCUAUUUCCAACAACCUUCCGUCACCUCCCGUGACUCACCUCCCAGUACUUCACUGGGGAGUUGAG
rnacentral:lncRNA from 1 species